GCUUUCGUGGUGUAGUGGUCAGCAUGCUAGGUGCGUAUUUGAGAGGUCCGUGGUUCGAGUCCCAGCGAAGGCA
rnacentral:tRNA from 1 species